UACGGGGGGAGCAAGCGUUGUUCGGAUUUACUGGGCGUAAAGGGCGCGUAGGCGGUCAGCACAAGUCAGUUGUGAAAUCUCCGGGCUUAACUCGGAAAGGUCAACUGAUACUGUGCGACUAGAGUGCGGAAGGGGCAACUGGAAUUCUCGGUGUAGCGGUGAAAUGCGUAGAUAUCGAGAGGAACACCUGCGGCGAAGGCGGGUUGCUGGGCCGACACUGACGCUGAGACGCGAAAGCGUGGGGAGUGAACAGG
rnacentral:rRNA from 1 species